rnacentral:ncRNA from 2 species
AUUCAACCAAGCGCGGGUAAA